GCCGGCGUGGCGGAAUUGGUAGACGCAGCGGAUUCAAAAUCCGCCGCUGGAAACAGUGUGUCGGUUCGAGUCCGACCGCCGGCACCA
rnacentral:tRNA from 8 species